rnacentral:rRNA from 1 species
UACGGAGGGAGCGAGCGUUGUUCGGAAUUACUGGGCGUAAAGCGCACGUAGGCGGGUUCUUAAGUCGGUGGUGAAAUCCUGGAGCUCAACUCCAGAACUGCCUUCGAAACUGGGAAUCUUGAGUCCGGGAGAGGUGAGUGGAACUGCGAGUGUAGAGGUGAAAUUCGUAGAUAUUCGCAAGAACACCAGUGGCGAAGGCGGCUCACUGGCCCGGUACUGACGCUGAGGUGCGAAAGCGUGGGGAGCAAACAGG